UACGAACGGUGCAAGCGUUACUCGGAAUCACUGGGCGUAAAGCGCACGUAGGCGGACUCGUAGGUCAAUUGUGAAAUACCUGGGCUCAACCCGGGAACUGCAGUUGAAACCGCUUGUCUUGAAUACCUGAGAGGGUGGGGGAAUACCUGGUGGAGAAGUGAAAUUCGUAGAGAUCAGGUGGAACACCGGAGGCGAAGGCGCCUGCCUGGCAGUGUAUUGACGCUGAGGUGCGAAAGCGUGGGGAGCAAACAGG
rnacentral:rRNA from 1 species